AGGGUAAAACUUUAACUUGCAAUUAAAAAUUAUUGAUUAAUCAAUUUACCUUA
rnacentral:tRNA from 1 species